rnacentral:rRNA from 1 species
UACAGAGGGUGCAAGCGUUAAUCGGAAUUACUGGGCGUAAAGCGUGCGCAGGCGGUUCGCUAAGACCGAUGUGAAAUCCCCGGGCUUAACCUGGGAACUGCAUUGGUGACUGGCGAGCUAGAGUGUGGCAGAGGGGGGUAGAAUUCCACGUGUAGCAGUGAAAUGCGUAGAGAUGUGGAGGAAUACCGAUGGCGAAGGCAGCCCCCUGGGCUAACACUGACGCUCAUGCACGAAAGCGUGGGGAGCAAACAGG